rnacentral:rRNA from 1 species
AGCAGCCGCGGUAAUUCCAGCUCCAAUAGCGUAUAUUAAAGUUGCUGCAGUUAAAAAGCUCGUAGUUGAAUUUCGGGACCAAUAUGUCGGUCGUGCCUCGGUACGUACUGGCAUCGUUGGUUUCUCCCUUCUGAAGAACCAUGAUGUCAUUCAUUUGGUGUCGUGGGGAAUCAGGACUGUUACUUUGAAAAAAUUAGAGUGUUUAAAGCAGGCUCACGCUUGAAUACAUUAGCAUGGAAUAAUGAAAUAGGACGUUUGAUUCUAUUUUGUUGGUUUCUAGGAUCGACGUAAUGAUUAAUAGGGAUAGUUGGGGGCAUUAGUAUUCAACUGUCAGAGGUGAAAUUCUUGGAUUUAUUGAAGACUAACUACUGCGAAAGCAUUUGCCAAGGAUGUUUUCAUUAACCAAGAACGAAAGUUAGGGGAUCGAAGACGAUCAGAUACCGUCGUAGUCUUAACCAUAAACUAUGCCGACUAGGAAUCAGACGAUGUAUUUUUAAUGUACUCGUUUGGCUACCG